rnacentral:rRNA from 1 species
UACGUAGGGGGCAAGCGUUGUCCGGAAUUAUUGGGCGUAAAGAGCGUGUAGGCGGCCAGGUAGGUCUGCUGUGAAAACUCGAGGCUCAACCUCGAGACGUCGGCGGAAACCAUCUGGCUAGAGUCCGGAAGAGGAGAGUGGAAUUCCCGGUGUACGCGGUGAAAUGCGCAGAUAUCGGGAGGAACACCAAUGGCGAAGGCAGCUCGCUGGGACGGUACUGACGCUGAGACGCGAAAGCGGUGGG